UACGUAGGGCGCAAGCGUUUGUCCGGAAUUAUUGGGCGUAAAGAGCUCGUAGGCGGCUUGUCACGUCGGGUGUGAAAGCCCGGGGCUUAACCCCGGGUCUGCAUUCGAUACGGGCUAGCUAGAGUGUGGUAGGGGAGAUCGGAAUUCCUGGUGUAGCGGUGAAAUGCGCAGAUAUCAGGAGGAACACCGGUGGCGAAGGCGGAUCUCUGGGCCAUUACUGACGCUGAGGAGCGAAAGCAUGGGGAGCGAACAGG
rnacentral:rRNA from 1 species